rnacentral:lncRNA from 1 species
AUGGCCCAGGGAGUGCAGUUAGCCAUUCCCCAGAGGCCCCGCUCCUCUGUGCUGUCCUCAGUGUCACCGAUUUGCAUCCUCAGGCCUUGCACCAUGUCCAGAGCACACCCCCAGCCCGGUCAGCCCUGCCCAGGGGGAGCCAAAAGAAGGUCAGACUUCCCAGCACCAGCGAGACUCCGAAGCCAGAGCAACCCCACCCGAAACAAGCGCUGGGCCGCCUGCCAGCACCAGCGUUUUGUCCUCCAUCAAAGAGGAGGAAGAAUCUUCAGAUGGAGAGUCACGGUCCCCUCCCCGGGAUGUCCCGCCCGGCCCAGGGCCAGGUCACCUAUGGCCCUGUUCUUCCCCCACCACCCACUGGCCUGGCUGGAAAAGUGCUGCUUGAAACAAGCUUCCUGUCACGAGGAGUGUGGUCUGGUGACAGAGACACGACCUCACCCACCACCCUGUGAAGCGGCCCAGCCCCACAGCCUCUCACGUCUUACAGUUUGAAUGUGGUGCGAUUUAAAUGCAGCUCUGCUCAGAGCCUUGUAUUUUCUGUGACCCGAGUGUACACUCCGACAAGCAGUAAAAAGAAAAAAAAAAGCCAUUAUCGGCGUUCCUGCUGUGGCGCAGCAAGUUAAAAACGUGGUGCAGCCAUAGCUGUGGCGUAGGUUGCAGCUAUGGCUCAGAUUUGAUCCCCAGGCAUGUCAUGGGUGCGGCGAAAGGAAGGAAGGAAGAAAUACAAAAAUAUACUCUGGACCAAUAGAAAGAAAUCAGCUGCCCCGCCCAUUCCCUCCUGGUUCCCCCUCCAGUGGGAGGCAGACAUCCCCCUCGGGGCGGUGNNNNNNNNNNNNNNNNNNNNNNNNNNNNNNNNNNNNNNNNNNNCCCCCCCCCCCCCCCCCCCGCAAAGAAGGCCUGAGACGUCACUAAUUCCUAAGCCCGGGAUGAGGACAGCGGCAGCCUCUUAAAUGAACCAAGGUUUAACCUCAAAGUUUAGAUGAUUCUUUGGCUCAAGGACCAAAUGUAAAACAGGGGCGUUCCUAACAUCAGAGCAAAGUUCUGCACGUGUUAUUUGGGUGAU